rnacentral:rRNA from 1 species
AUGCAGCGCGCCGCGGCCUCCCUCGCCUCCUCCCGCUCCGCGGCCUGGGCCUGCUCCACCACCUCGCGCCAUGCCGCCGCCUCGUGCUCUGCCGCCGCCCGCCGCGACGCCGUCGUGCCUCUCCGAAUUCGCGGCCAAGAGCAGCGGCCCGCCGCCCUCCCCAUGUCACUGUCGCUGCUCUCCGGGAGUCGGCCCCCGCGGACGGCAAAAGCGGCGGCCGCGGCCGCGGAGCUGGCCCCGGCGGACGAGGUGGCCGCGGGUGGCGGCAUUGCCGGCACGGUGCAGCUCGGCGCCAUGAUCGUCGCCUGGUACCUCCUCAACAUCUACUUCAACAUCUACAACAAGCAGGUGCUCCAGGUGCUGCCAUUGCCGCUCCCCUACACCAUCACCGCCUUCCAGCUCGCCUUCGGCUCGCUCGUCAUCUUCUUCAUGUGGGCCGCCAAGCUCCACCCCGUGCCCAAGCUCUCCGCCGCACAGCUGGCCAAGAUCGCGCCGCUGGCCGCCGGGCACAUGCUGGGCACGGUGUUCACCAACAUGAGCCUGGGCAAGGUGGCCGUCUCCUUCACGCACACCGUCAAGGCAUCGGAGCCCUUCUUCACCGUGCUGCUCUCCGCCUUCUUCCUCGGCGAGGUGCCGUCGCCGCUGGUGCUGGGCUCGCUGGUGCCGAUCGUCGGCGGCGUCGCCCUGGCGUCGCUGACCGAGGUCUCAUUCAACUGGGUGGGAUUCUGGAGCGCCAUGGCGUCGAAUCUGCUCAACCAGACCAGGAAUGUGCUCAGCAAGAGGCUCCUCGGCGGCGAAGAGGAGGAGUUCAUGGACGACAUAAACCUCUUCUCGGUGAUCACCGUGCUGUCCUUCCUCCUAUCGUUGCCUCUGAUGAUCUUUGCAGAAGGGGUCAGCUUCUCCCCAGCGUUCCUCCAGAGCACGGGCCUGAACCUGCAGGAGCUGUGCGUGAGGGCGGCCCUGGCAGGGCUCUGCUUCCAUGGCUACCAGAAGCUGUCGUACAUGAUCCUGGCGAGGGUGUCGCCCGUGACCCACUCCGUGGCCAACUGCGUCAAGCGUGUGGUGGUCAUCGUCUCCUCCGUCCUCUUCUUCCGGACGCCCAUCUCCCCUGUCAAUGCACUGGGGACUGGAGCGGCACUGGCGGGAGUUUACCUGUACUCCAGGCUCAAGAAAGCAAAGCCAAAGAGCUCAUGA